AGAGUUUGAUCAUGGCUCAGGACGAACGCUGGCGGCGUGCUUAACACAUGCAAGUCGAACGGAAAGGCCCUUCGGGGUACUCGAGUGGCGAACGGGUGAGUAACACGUGGGUGAUCUGCCCUGCACUUUGGGAUAAGCCUGGGAAACUGGGUCUAAUACCGAAUAUGACCACGCUCUUCAUGGGGUGUGGUGGAAAGCUUUUGCGGUGUGGGAUGGGCCCGCGGCCUAUCAGCUUGUUGGUGGGGUAAUGGCCUACCAAGGCGACGACGGGUAGCCGGCCUGAGAGGGUGACCGGCCACACUGGGACUGAGAUACGGCCCAGACUCCUACGGGAGGCAGCAGUGGGGAAUAUUGCACAAUGGGCGCAAGCCUGAUGCAGCGACGCCGCGUGAGGGAUGACGGCCUUCGGGUUGUAAACCUCUUUCACCAGGGACGAAGCGCAAGUGACGGUACCUGGAGAAGAAGCACCGGCCAACUACGUGCCAGCAGCCGCGGUAAUACGUAGGGUGCGAGCGUUGUCCGGAAUUACUGGGCGUAAAGAGCUCGUAGGUGGUUUGUCGCGUUGUUCGUGAAAACUCACAGCUUAACUGUGGGCGUGCGGGCGAUACGGGCAGACUAGAGUACUGCAGGGGAGACUGGAAUUCCUGGUGCAGCGGUGGAAUGCGCAGAUAUCAGGAGGAACACCGGUGGCGAAGGCGGGUCUCUGGGCAGUAACUGACGCUGAGGAGCGAAAGCGUGGGGAGCGAACAGGAUUAGAUACCCUGGUAGUCCAA
rnacentral:rRNA from 1 species